rnacentral:rRNA from 1 species
UACGUAGGUGGCAAGCGUUGUCCGGAUUUACUGGGCGUAAAGGAUGCGUAGGCGGAUAUUUAAGUCAGAUGUGAAAUUCCCGGGCUCAACUUGGGAGCUGCAUUUGAAACUGGAUAUCUAGAGUGCGGGAGAGGAGAGUGGAAUUCCUGGUGUAGCGGUGGAAUGCGCAGAUAUCAGGAGGAACACCGAUAGCGAAAGGCAGCUCGCUGGGACGGUACUGACGCUGAGGCGCGAAAGCGUGGGGAGCGAACAGG